UACGGAGGGGGCGAGCGUUAUUCGGAAUUAUUGGGCGUAAAGGGCGCGUAGGCGGCUUGACAAGUCAAAGGUGAAAUCCCCGGGCUCAACCCGGGAACUGCGUCCGAUACUGGCAGGCUUGAAUCCGGGAGAGGGAUGCGGAAUUCCAGGUGUAGCGGUGAAAUGCGUAGAUAUCUGGAGGAACACCGGUGGCGAAGGCGGCAUCCUGGACCGGCAUUGACGCUGAGGCGCGAAAGCCAGGGGAGCAAACGGG
rnacentral:rRNA from 1 species